AUGUUUGCUGUUACUGUGGCCAAACAACUCCAUCUUUGAUUCAUCUGUCCAGAGCACAUUAUUCCAAAAGGCCUGGUCUUUGCCUAUAUGCUCAUUGGCAAACUGUAUUCUUGCAAAGGAUUUUUCCUGGCACACCUCCCAUGCAGGUCAAAUUUGUGCAGUCUCUUUCUGAUUGUAGAAGCAUGCACUUUGACACCAACAGCUGCAAGAUGCUGUGACGAAAUUUUGGGUUUCUUUGAGACUUCUUUUUGCAUCAGCUGGUCUGCUCUUGGGCUGAAUUUGCUGGGACGGCAAGGAUGUUAGGGCAGAUUUCAACUAGGCUAUAUCAAUAUUUUAGAUCAGACUCCAACCAGGUUGAAAAAGUAUGUUGGAUCAGAUCCCAACUAGGCUAUAUGUGAAUGCUAGAUCAGAUUCCAGCCAGGUUGAAAAAGGAUGUUGGAUCAGAUCCCAACUAGGCUAUAUGUGAAUGCUAGAUCAGAUUCCAACCAGGUUGAAAAAGGAUGUUGGAUCAGAUCCCAACUAGGAUAUUUGUGAAUGCUAGAUCAGAUUCCAACCAGGUUGAAAAAGGAUGUUCGAUCUGAUCCCUGCAAGUUAUACUAGAAUGUUAGGUAAGAUCACAGGCAGCUUGUAUCAGGAUGUUGGCUCAGAUCCCAACCAGGUUAUAUGUGAAUGUUAGAUCAGAUUCCAACCUGGUUAUAUGAGACUGUUAGAUCAGAUCCCAACUGGUUAUGCCAGGAUGUUAGAUCAGAUCCCAACCAGG
ensembl:lncRNA